AUAGGUACUCUGCAUCGAAUGAGUUGAUUAUUAAUAUUACAAAGGAUGAAUAUAAAAAUUAAUAAACUCCUAUUUAAAAUAUAAUAUGUGAAAACGAAGAAAACAUCGAUUCCUAAGUAUUACUACUUAUAUUUGCUACUAAUAAUGAUUAAAGGUAUGUCGACAGCAUAUUGCCACGAAAUAUAUACGUUUAAUAAAUAAAUCCAACGAAGCAAAUAUCGGUCACAAAAGGUUAGAGUGUCGAAUGUAUUGUUUCCAAAAGGAUCAAGUGUUGCAUCGUAUGUAUAUACUUAUCAUCGAUGAAAUCAGCGUAAUCCCACCUAUGUAUAUUAAUACCAGAUAGUCACGAAAUUCACCGGAUGUGUUUGUUCGGCCCUUCUUCGCUUCUGCCCUCGCGUUCGCCAUGAUAGAUCCUUUUAACCGAUACGUCUCACGCAGCACGGAGGAUUACGAAAACUACGCCACCUUCGAGUAUCGUCUAUAACUAUGUAAAUAUCAGACAUCCUUUAUUGUUACAAACUGGAGAUACAAGGACCUGUAGAUACUGAAAUGUAGAGGUUGAAGAAUCCAGACAUAUGAGGAUGUAAAAGUGUAAGGAUCUAAGCAGUACAGUGAUGUAGAAAUAUGGGAGGAAUUACAAAUAUAGCAGGAUGUAUCUAGAAAUAUAGGACACCUUGUAUGCUCAUUAUUCGACGAAGCGAUUCAACGGAUUCCAAGAUCCUUCAUACGAUUUCUGUUUCGUGAACAAAUUGGCUAAGACAACGGUGUUCUAACGAUGCCACGUCGCUCGUGUGAGUGUAAAAUCUUCGAAGGCUUCAAGGAUGUGCGCGGAGGAGCAUCGAAGGCAUCGUUUGAAAAGGCCUGUCGAAGGAGCAGCAGUCCAGGUCAAUGAAACAUUAACUAACAAACGAUUCGCGAGAGGACGUGGAAUUGCACCACGGCGAACGAGAUACGUGUAUUAGCCGGAUCGUGUAUUGGCGGCGAAGCAAGACCUCGGUCUGUCGAAGCACAUGUUGCUGUACGUGAUUCGACCUCGCGCUCGCUUCGAUACUCUUAUAUGCAAAUCGCUCGAGCACACUACUUACUGUGCCGUGGAAUGAUGAGCGGCUGGCUAAGGUCAUCGAAGAGGAAGAUGAUCAUCAGUGCGUUUCCAGCCAAUUAGCCGCGUGAGCUUAACAAAAACCUCAACAGACCGUAUAACCAUUUAAUUAUGCGAAAUUGAGUCGAAGCAGCCGCUAUUGGAUUCUCACUGUAUUUCAAACGGCGGAAGAGGAAUGUCGUGUGUCGUUAGCAACGAGAUUUACUGGCGUGAUUAAUUAAGACACAUGCUAAUUAAUAAUACCAGCGGUAACGUAACACGAUUAAUUAAUAGUAGGGAUCAGUUGAAAAAGUAGCAUCUAUCUAAGGAGCCACAUAUCAAAAUAUGUGAAACUUUGUGGCAUGAGUCGCUGACAGAGUUGCAAUGAUGAAGAUAAAAAAGAAGAAAUCUUGUAAUAAGACAAUGGCCAUCAUCGAGCCUAUUGGGACUCUCCCCAAUCUAACGAAUCAUGUGAUUCGACAUCGACGAUACUUAAAGGUAACUCCUUCCGUGACAUUAAAAAGGCACUCCCAGGCUCUUGUUGCAUCGGUCCCUUUUGCUUUGCAGUUUCACACGCUACGUCGGAUGUAGAAACAGUGUACCGGCAACGCCGUUCCUUUUGUACACCUCUCCAUGGGGAUCGGGAACAGAUCUUCCUGUCACCUCUAAAGCGAAACGAGUACAAAAUCCAGUUCCUCCUUUUUCUACCUUCAUCUAGAUAUUCAGAUGGCGUAUUUUUCAACUGCUCGUAGAGUUACUGGAACAGAACAGUAUAAUACCUAGAGGAGAGGAAAGAUAGUCAGGUUUCCCUUUUACUGAGAUAUAUCUAAGUGAUGACAUUGACAGUUUUUAUUUACAAUUAUUUAUUUAUCUUACAUUUCUUCUGAAGAGAAUUGGCGGUAAUUGAAUUAGAUGCUGCCAUCUAAUGUUCAGGAUGUAAACUAGUAGAAACUGAUCUUUCAGUUACCUUCUUUAUCUUAUUAUACUGUAUGUAUACGCAUCAUCAGAUGUUAGGUGUGAACGAUAUUCGAGUUCCAUAAUCUAUUGAAGAUGGCGCUUCAAGUAUUUUUAAAAUUAUUGAUCUAAUUUUUCUAAGAGUCCUUUCUCAUUCUCUAAUAUUUGCAAUAUUAACAAUUGGUCAUUUGACACCUUCAUAAUAAAAAAUUAAUUUAAAUUAAGACACAAUGUAAAACAAUAAGCAUGGGAUGCAUCUUUCCAUCGUUGACUGAAAGAAGUAGUAACAAAUUACACAGUUCAAUUCAAUUUGCCAAUGUCACAAGUUAAUUUGUUAAUCUAAACAUAUGUAAUAAUACUAUCACACAUUCUUUGUUUGCAAGAUAUCCCUUCAUUGUAAAAACAGUUCCUAUUUGGAACAUAUCCUUUGACCGUUACAGUAGAGAUAGCUGCAAUAAAAUCAAUAAUGAUA
rnacentral:lncRNA from 1 species